AGUGGCGGACGGGUGAGUAAUGUCUGGGAAACUGCCUGAUGGAGGGGGAUAACUACUGGAAACGGUAGCUAAUACCGCAUAACGUCGCAAGACCAAAGAGGGGGACCUUCGGGCCUCUUGCCAUCGGAUGUGCCCAGAUGGGAUUAGCUAGUAGGUGGGGUAACGGCUCACCUAGGUGACGAUCCCUAGCUGGUCUGAGAGGAUGACCAGCCACACCGGAACUGAGACACGGUCCAGACUCCUACGGGAGGCAGCAUG
rnacentral:rRNA from 1 species